rnacentral:rRNA from 1 species
AUUGAACGCUGGCGGCAUGCUUUACACAUGCAAGUCGAACGGUAACAGCACUUCGGUGGCUGACGAGUGGCGCACGGGUGAGUAAUACAUCGGAACGUGCCUAGUAGUGGGGGAUAACUACUCGAAAGAGUAGCUAAUACCGCAUGAGAUCUAAGGAUGAAAGCAGGGGACCUUCGGGCCUUGCGCUACUAGAGCGGCUGAUGGCAGAGUAGGUAGUUGGUGGGAUAAAAGCUUACCAAGCCGACGAUCUGUAGCUGGUCUGAGAGGACGACCCGCCACACUGGGACUGAGACACGGCCCAGACUCCUACGGGAGGCAGCAGUGGGGAAUUUUGGGCAAUGGGCGCAAGCCUGAUCCAGCAAUGCCGCGUGCAGGAUGAAGGCCUUCGGGUUGUAAACUGCUUUUGUACGGAACGAAAAGCCCUCUUCUAAUACAGGAGGGUCGUGACGGUACCGUAAGAAUAAGCACCGGCUAACUACGUG